UACCAGACUCCUACGGGAGGCAGCAGUGAGGAAUAUUGGUCAAUGGGCGAGAGCCUGGACCAGCCAAGUCGCGUGAGGGAAGACGGUCCUAUGGAUUGUAAACCUCUUUUGCCGGGGAGCAAAAAGCGGUAUGUGUACCGCAUCGAGAGUACCCGGAGAAAAAGCACCGGCUAACUACGUGCCAGCAGCCGCGGUAAUACGUAGGGUGCAAGCGUUAUCCGGAUUUAUUGGGCGUAAAGGGCUCGUAGGCGGUUCGUCGCGUCCGGUGUGAAAGUCCAUCGCUUAACGGUGGAUCCGCGCCGGGUACGGGCGGGCUUGAGUGCGGUAGGGGAGACUGGAAUUCCCGGUGUAACGGUGGAAUGUGUAGAUAUCGGGAAGAACACCAAUGGCGAAGGCAGGUCUCUGGGCCGUUACUGACGCUGAGGAGCGAAAGCGUGGGGAGCGAACAGGAUUAGAUACCCCUGUAU
rnacentral:rRNA from 1 species